UCNUCUGGCUUAACUGGGGGCUUGCGGUGGGUACGGGCCGGCUUGAGUGCGGUAGGGGAGACUGGAACUCCUGGUGUAGCGGUGGAAUGCGCAGAUAUCAGGAAGAACACCGGUGGCGAAGGCGGGUCUCUGGGCCGUUACUGACGCUGAGGAGCGAAAGCGUGGGGAGCGAACAGGAUUAGAUACCCUGGUAGUCCACGCCGUAAACGUUGGGCACUAGGUGUGGGGGGCCUUUUCCGGGUCUUCCGCGCCGUAGCUAACGCAUUAAGUGCCCCGCCUGGGGAGUACGGCCGCAAGGCUAAAACUCAAAGGAAUUGACGGGGGCCCGCACAAGCGGCGGAGCAUGCGGAUUAAUUCGAUGCAACGCGAAGAACCUUACCAAGGCUUGACAUGUGCCGGUCGGCUCCGGAGACGGGGUUUCCUCCUUGUGGGGCCGGUUCACAGGUGGUGCAUGGUUGUCGUCAGCUCGUGUCGUGAGAUGUUGGGUUAAGUCCCGCAACGAGCGCAACCCUUGUCCCGUGUUGCCAGCACGUUGUGGUGGGGACUCGCGGGAGACUGCCGGGGUCAACUCGGAGGAAGGUGGGGAUGACGUCAAAUCAUCAUGCCCCUUAUGUCUUGGGCUUCACGCAUGCUACAAUGGCCGGUACAGAGGGCUGCGAUACCGUGAGGUGGAGCGAAUCCCUUAAAGCCGGUCUCAGUUCGGAUCGGUGUCUGCAACUCGACACCGUGAAGUUGGAGUCGCUAGUAAUCGCAGAUCAGCAACGCUGCGGUGAAUACGUUCUCGGGCCUUGUACACACCGCCCGUCACGUCAUGAAAGUCGGCAACACCCGAAGCCCGUGGCCCU
rnacentral:rRNA from 1 species